rnacentral:rRNA from 1 species
CCUACGGGCGGCAGCAGUGAGGAAUAUUGGUCAAUGGGCUUACGCCUGAACCAGCCAAGUCGCGUGAGGGAAGACUGCCCUAUGGGUUGUAAACCUCUUUUGUCAGGGAGCAAUUGGCGCUACGUGUAGCGUUAUCGAGAGUACCUGACGUAAAAGCAUCGGCUAACUACGUGCCAGCCGCCGCUGUAAUACGGAGGUUGCGAGCGUUAUCCGGAUUUAUUGGGUUUAAAGGGUGCGUAGGCGGAAUGCCAAGUCAGCGGUAAAAUCGCGGGGCUCAACCUCGCUAGGCCGUUGAAACUGGCGUUCUUGAGUGGGCGAGAAGUAGGCGGAAUUCGUGGUGUAGCGGUGAAAUGCAUAGAUAUCACGAAGAACUCCAGUGGCGAAGGCAGCAGACCGGCGCCCAACUGACGCUGAAGCACGAAAGCGUGGGGAGCGAACAGGAUUAGAUACCCCAGUAGUC